rnacentral:misc_RNA from 1 species
GAUGAAGAACGUAGUGAAAUGCGAUAAGUAAUGUGAAUUGCAGAAUUCAGUGAAUCAUCGAAUCUUUGAACGCACCUUGCACCCUUUGGUAUUCCGAAGGGUAUGCCUGUUUGAGUGUCUUGAAACUCUCAAAACUCCUGGUCUUUGUUGAUCUUAGGAAGUUUUGGACUUUGGAUGGUUGCCGGCCCGUCUCGGGUUGGCUCGUCCUAAAUGCAUUAGCUGACCUUGCAACGGUUCGGCCGCCCGGUGUGAUAAGUAUCACUCGCCGAGGCUCAGGACUGUGAAGGGUUGCUUCCAACCGUCCGAUCCCGGACAAUCCUUUUCAAGCGUUUGACCUCAAAUCAGGUAGGACUACCCGCUGAACUUAAGCAUAUCAAUAAGCGGAGGA